CCUCUCACAUUUCGGUGCACGAUAACCGGUGCCGCUAUACAUCUUCGAGGUGGUUGUGUGGUAUGCUCACAGUCUUUGUUUAUCGGUGCUAGACCGCUGCCUGUGAGGCUUGUACAUGGAUUCGACCGUUUUCCAACGUAUACAAUGUGGGAUCCUCUCAGCUACAUCUAUCAGGCCGUUGGGUCGAAGUAUACGGAAAGCAGCUGUGUGACGCUUCCCUCGUUUUACGAGUACACCACCCGCCCCUUUCUGCUGAGCAAGGAGGAAGAGCAGCUACGUUCUAAAAUGGCCGCGGAAAGGGUAGCUUGGAAGUCGCUGUCUCUCUCCUUUUGUGGCAACGACUACGCAGCACACUACUGCAGCGACCGAGGCGCCGAAGAGUUUGUGGAGAAUGUGAGGGUCGUUGUGAAGAGCAUCGAAGAUGACGUCACCAGGGGCGAGAGCAUCUUUUCUGGCUUUCUGGAGCAGGUAGACAAGCUCCAAAAAUCAAGCAGAGGUGCUUUGGCGGACAUUGUGUUCGAAAAGGAUGUCUCUGUGGACACUUUGUAUACGCGCGAGGCGUUCCUGUGCUUUGAGCUUCGAAAAAGGCUUCGUGUUCCUGUACCCGUAUCGACACUGCUGUUGGAGCGGGGCAGUUUCCAUUUUUUGAUCAAGGGCGAAGUCUGUACUGUUCCCAUGGCUGCGAUGAUCGACAGUGACGGCGCCCCUGUGCAUUACGAGGGCAUCGUGUUAGAGUCUGACAUACUCUGCUGCAGCAAUGGAAUCUGCAGAAGUGGUAGGGAUUCAAAGGACCGCUGCUUUGUCACUGUCUUGUCAGCGGACGCAAUGGGCUGCGCAGCAGGUCUGUUGUCAGCGGAGGCUGUAGUGGAAGAUGAGUAUGUGGAAAAGGCUCUGCGAACACUGGUGGAUGCUGGUGUACUUGUCUGUUUUUCUUCCGUAUGCAACGAUGGCUGUGUGUACCAAUACGAGCAGCAUGCAAAGGAGAGCGAUAGCUCUGCGCUGGCCGUGGCAGCUCAGCAUUACGCUGCGGCACAUCGUACUCGCGUAGUUCGCUGCAGCAGAAACGCGGAUGCGAUGCACCUUCUGAAUGCCGAUUCGAGCAAAUGUAUGCCGCGGGAUGUGGCAGCUCUCGAUUUGGCUUUGCAUUGUCCAACGCUAGUGGCCACCAUGAAAACUGUGUCUGGGCCUUCGUACUUCGAAGUGGUGCGUCGUUUUUCGCUGGUUGGUGUCUUGGAUGGGCCUCUACUUCUUUCCAUCGCGCACGACAGCCCAUUGCAUAACAACGUUCUCAAACAUGGGGACACGAUACUUCUUUUUCAUUUUGCUGACCACGAUGUAUGGAAAAACGGUCAGUCGCGUCACUGGCUUGUCCCUGCCAGGUGCGACGCUCUUAAAACUAAAGCGGGAUGCUUUUCUGUGCCCCGCUGCUGUCCGGUAGCUGGGGUGCUUCUGUUCACAACAGAAAGGAGCUUUUCAGCUGGUGAUAGUGCAGUAGUUGUUGGGAAGGUAACAGAUGCAAACCGCACGGAGGAGCCCUUGUGCGCACCCCUUUCGUUGUGCUCUUCCUUGUUUCACUACACACCGUUUGUGUGCAAAUUUCUUCAUCGGCAGCACGGUCCUAUCGGUUUUGUCGGUUUUUCGUUUUCGUUCUGCAGCACUACUCCUCUGUUGGCUAUCGCGUUGCUUCCUCUUCAUGUCAAUGACUUCAUCAGCUCCGAAACGGAUGUGGAUCCGACGGUAGUGCUCUUUUUCUUUCGUCGAGAGUACAACGGGUUUUCAGUGCGUACGUACCCGUACUUCACUGAUGCGCUGCCGUGCCCUCUCCAUUGUUUGACUGAGGAGAAAAGGAGCUUGGUUGCAGGUACAGCGACUUGUCGUCUACUUCAGGUGGAAUCGCUACUUGCUGAAUCGAGCACGUUUAUGAUAUUAUCUGUGAGCCAAAUCGCCUUUGACGGAUGUGAAAUUUUGCAGUUUGGGAAAUGCUGAGCAGUAACAGUCAUUUCGUCAACUCUACUGUGUACAAAACUUUUCCAAGAUGAUUAUCAAAAGAGAUGAACCGAGUUUUCGGCUUUUAAGGUAUUCCAUGGAAAGAAAUCCUGUGCUCUAUGCUUAUCAUGUCGAAAGGGAACAAAAAAAAAUGAUUCUCUCGAAUGUGCGCGGCCUUCUGCUAGGAAAACUAAAACGAAUUGCGGUGCCCGCUUAUCUCUUGUUUUUUACUAUUCUUAUUUUCGGUGCUUUACGUUCUUAG
rnacentral:misc_RNA from 1 species